rnacentral:rRNA from 1 species
AGAGUUUGAUCCUGGCUCAGAACGAACGCUGGCGGCGUGCCUAACACAUGCAAGUCGAGCGAGAAAGCCCGCAAGGGUGAGUAAAGCGGCGCACGGGUGAGUAACACGUGGGUAAUCUGCCCUGGAGUCCGGAAUAACUCGCCGAAAGGCGUGCUAAUGCCGGAUAAGACCACGGGAGCCUUGGCUCCUGUGAGAAAAGGUGGCCUCUGUACACAAGCUAUCGCCCCAGGAUGAGCCCGCGUCCCAUCAGCUAGUUGGCGGGGUAACGGCCCACCAAGGCUACGACGGGUAGCUGGUCUGAGAGGACGAUCAGCCACACUGGAACUGAGACACGGUCCAGACUCCUACGGGAGGCAGCAGUGGGGAAUCUUGCGCAAUGGGCGAAAGCCUGACGCAGCAACGCCGCGUGUGUGAUGAAGGUCUUCGGAUCGUAAAGCACUGUCGCGAGGGACGAAUAAGGGUCGGGCUAACAUCCCGGCACGAUGACGGUACCUCGAGAGGAAGCACCGGCUAACUCUGUGCCAGCAGCCGCGGUAAUACAGAGGGUGCAAGCGUUGUUCGGAAUUAUUGGGCGUAAAGCGCGUGUAGGCGGCUUUGCAAGUCGGAUGUGAAAGCCCUCGGCUUAACCGAGGAAGUGCGUUCGAAACUGCCGAGCUUGAGUACCGGAGAGGGUGGCGGAAUUCCCGGUGUAGAGGUGAAAUUCGUAGAUAUCGGGAGGAACACCAGUGGCGAAGGCGGCCACCUGGACGGAUACUGACGCUGAGACGCGAAAGCGUGGGUAGUAAACAGGAUUAGAUACCCUGGUAGUCCACGCUGUAAACGAUGAGCGCUAGGUGUUGUGGGUGUUGACCCCCGCAGUGCCGCAGCUAAUGCAUUAAGCGCUCCGCCUGGGGAGUACGGCCGUAAGGCUAAAACUCAAAGGAAUUGAUGG